rnacentral:sRNA from 1 species
CCCUACCACAAAAAUAAGCAAUACUAAAAAAGCAAUAACUGU